AUAAAGUCAUGGCAUGAUUAAGAUUAAGUUUAGCAUCCGCUCUUAUCAAUUUAAUAUAUGAUAUGUGCGUCGAUGGUCCACACCAUAUUAAAUAUUAUAUUUUUUUUAGGGGGGAGUUCACUAGAGUAGCUUUCUAUUGAGUUUCUUACUUGUCACUCUUGCAUUGUGCUAGUGUAAAAAAAAAAAUCAU